AGCAGUGUCGGGAAGGAUUCGUGUGUGGGACAGUAAGGAUGGAUUUUCGGCAAUUAUGUAUAGCGUUUCUUCUGUUGAAAGGGGCUGCAACGUCCUAUGUGAAAGACAAGAGUGACAACACGGUGUGUUCCGAGAGCAGGAGAACAUGGGAUCUUUCCUCCUGUCUGGGCGCCAUACGUCGCCGUGCAGAGAACAACAAGCUGUUCUGGUUCGGGUCCGAGUAUGUGUCCAAGUGCGGAGACAAGUCCGAGUUCAGCGCCGACUGCUACAACCCCAAACCCUACUCCGAGGACAGCGUCGUCUCCAGGAUCUUCCAGCGCGGCGACUACGACAAGAAGAACCUGGACAGGUUCAUGGAGAUCACAUUCAUCGCUCAGCCAGGGAAGUACGAGGCCUGCGGCAACGUGUACAGCUCGCAGCACUCCCAGCUGAUAGCCGUCGACCCUCUGUCCGACCAGGUCCAUACCCCCUACCAGCUGAAAGACAUGCCCUACUUCUGGUGGGAGUCGGAGGAGAAGGAUAUGUUCUCCCUCGUCAUCUACGACCCCGGCUACCUCAACAUCAAGGGCUUCUACAUCAACAUCAGAGGCUCCAACGUCACGACGGGAGAGGCAAUCCAGGUGUAUGAAGGACCACAGAACCCCACGAAGAACGUCAACCCCUACGUGUUCCUGGUGUUCAAGCAGAAGGACUACAUCAAGAUGCCGGUCAUCUGGAGGCAGAAAUUCUUCUACAGGUCCAGCCCCAUGGACUUCACGGAGCUGAAGCAGCAAUUCUCUCUAACAGGUCCCGUGGCGAUGUCGUGGGUGCGGGUGGUUGGAGAUCCCUAUGCUGCAGACAUCAUGAAGAAAAAGGGCUACAUGAACACUUGCCCGCAGUUUAUUGCCGAUGCGUUCAAGACGAAGGAGACACCGUUCAUCCCCCGCGACAAGAAAUACCGCCCUGACCUGAACGUCUACGUCAAUGUCACCUUCCAGUCUCCCGCCGUCAACUUCAACUCCUGCUGCUCCUUCUUCACAUUGCCACAAAAAACGAUCACUCUCAAUCCAAUUGGAAAUGCUAAAGUAAAGGCUGCGUACGCACGACAAGAAGUUAUUCCGAAAGUUGAACUCUCCAUGGCAACUGCGUUCCCCAGCGCCACGCGGGACUUCAGAGACAAACUCCUCACACUGAUCGUGGUUGACCCCGAUGUUCCACUUCCGGAAUUCGGCAACAAAGAAAUCCCGUUCGUUCAUUGGUUGGUUGUGAAUAUCUGUGACGGUCAGGUGGAUAACGGCGAGGUGGUCCAGAGUUACAUCGGCCCGGCUCCCCCGGACAAGAAGCCCCACAACUACUACUUCCUCGUGUUCGAGCAGUCCUACGAGCUGGAGCCGUCAGAGGUCUCGUCCUACGCGGCGGCCAACUGUUCCCAGAUGUUCAGGGGCAGGUGCCGAUAUUCUCUAAAUUCUCUGGUAAAAACACACGGCCUCAAACUGGUCGGAGCAACAUGGAUGCUGUCCGAAAACGACGAAUUUGUUCGUCAUAUUUAUAUAGGCAUGGGGCAGCCUCGUUGUCGUGUGUGCAAGGACGUCCCCGGAUAUGGAAUCCCUUGUCCUUCUUCAGGUGCCCGAGUUAUCCCCCUUUGGUGCACUGUGGCGCUGUUACUUGUGCUCGCUUUCACUCUGUUUCCAUGUCAACGUUUCUUGUGAUUUGCUUCAAGCUUUGUCGGCAUUUUCUUUGAAUGAGUGUUUGUAUAUGAACUGAUAGAUUUUACACCAUUCGAAGAAAAUUCGUUUGUUGAAUACCUGCGUUUGAUACCGUUCUGCGCAUGCUCGUGGUCGUACUAUAGCCUUGUUAUCGUUUGACUCAUAUCAUUAUUACCAUUAUUAUUAUUAUUUUUAUUAUGACUGAUAGUUUCUGUAUGUACAAAUCCGUAUCAUGUUCAGUGUUAUGAUCCACUUUGUUGUUUUGCUAAUUCUAUCAUUUUUGUUGUAACAGUUUUUUCUGCAUAUUGUGCACUAUGUCCAUUGAAUCUAUGCAAUACUUACUUAUCGUAUACACGUCUACGUGCAUGAUGUAUAUUUGAAACUGUGUAGUUGUAUUGAAGUCAGUUAACUGGUAUAUCUGUUACAUAUAGUGUACGUCUUUGUACUGAUUAUUCAGCUUUGUACAUGUGGAACGCUUUAUUUAUUUGCCGACAACAGACAAUGUGUGUAUUGUAAACUGUUAAAGUGCAUUGUCAUUCACCAAACAAUUACUGCAUUGUCAUUCACCGAACAAUUACUGCAUAGUCAUUCACCGAACAAUUACUGCAUUGUCAUUCACCGAACAAUCUCUGUUAUUUGCUGCACGACACUGCACCCGUUUUUGCUUCUGCACCUGUUACGUCAGCUUGUGGUGGAGACGACACCGGAAACGACAGAGUUGAACCGGAAAGUAGGAAAGAGAACUGUCUUAAAGAGGGGCUAGGCACGGCCAAACUCCAGUCCUAGCAAGGUUCAAUCAGAACAAUGGACAAGCUGGAAGAGCAAAUGGUUGAGACGGAACCGGAAAUAGAUGCAUGUUUGCGCAUGCGUAAGGGUGUGUGAGCACCGAGUGACCUCAGUUGAACGGGUGAUAGUUGUACAUAGAGUGACAACGAAAGCGCAUUUUACAUAAAUAACUUUAUCAUACCCAAGGAGUAACCUGCUCCUUUCAUCGUUCUGGAGUUGAACCAGCCAUCAAAGCAGGGAACUACCCUCGACUGACAAGUUGGCUUUCAUGAAACAGGUGUUGGGAAACUGUUUGGUGGCUCUGUGUCCACGAACGGCGCCUGCUUAUGCAAACUGUCGACAAGUUAAAAUUAUUAAGCUCAACAUCUGGCCUAUCUCCUGUUGUUUUUCUUCCUUCAGUAACAAACAUGCAGUCUGCCACCAGUAUGAUGAGUACCUGUCAGGUAUGACCAGUCAUAUCGUGAGUACCUGUCAGGUUGACCAGUCAUAUCAUGAGUACCUGUCAGGUAUGACCAGCCAUAUCAUUACUUGUCAGGUAUGACCAGUCAUAUCAUUACUUGUCAGGUAUGACCGGUCAAAUCGUACCUGUCAGGUAUGACCAGUCAUAUCGUGAGUACCUGUCAGGUAUGACCAAUCAUAUCGUUACCUGUCAAGUAUGACCAGUCAUAUCGUAAGUACCUGUCAGGUAUGACCAGUCAUAUCAUUACCUGUCAGGUAUGACCAGUCAUAUCAUUACCUGUCAAGUAUGACUAGUCAUAUCAUGAGUAACUGUCAGGUAUGACCAGUCAUAUCAUUACAUGUAAGGUAUGACCAGUCAUAUCAUGAGUACCUGUCAGGUAUGUCUAGUCAUAUCGUGAGUACCUGUCAGGUAUGACCAGUCAUAUCAUGAGUACCUGUCAGGUAUGACCGGUCAUAGCAUUACCUGUCAGGUAUGACCAGUCAUAUCAUGAGUACCUGUCAGGUAUGACCAGUCAUAUCAUGAGUACCUGUCAGGUAUGACCAGUCAUAUCAUUACCUGUCAGGUAUGACCAGUCAUAUCGUGAGUACCUGUCAGGUAUGACAAGUCAUAUCGUGAGUACCUGUCAGGUAUGACCAGUCAUAUCAUUACCUGUCAGGUUUGACCAGUCAUAUCGUGAGUACCUGUCAGGUAUGACCGGUCAUAUCAUUACCUGUCAGGUUUGACCAGUCAUAUCAUUACCUGUCAGGUUUGACCAGUCAUAUCGUGAGUACCUGUCAGGUAUGACCAGUCAUAUCAUUACCUGUCAGGUAUGACCAGUCAUAUCAUUACCUGUCAAGUAUGACUAGUCAUAUCAUGAGUAACUGUCAGGUAUGACCAGUCAUAUCAUUACAUGUAAGGUAUGACCAGUCAUAUCAUGAGUACCUGUCAGGUAUGUCUAGUCAUAUCGUGAGUACCUGUCAGGUAUGACCAGUCAUAUCAUGAGUACCUGUCAGGUAUGACCAGUCAUAUCAUGAGUACCUGUCAGGUUUGACCAGUCAUAUCAUUACCUGUCAGGUUUGACCAGUAAUAUCGUGAGUACCUGUCAGGUAUGACCAGUCAUAUCAUGAAAAACAUGACAGUAGCAUUGCUGUCCGGCGUCAGGUAUCACACAAUCACGUGUUUUAUGAAAAUAAUUGAAUGGCGUGUGCUACCGGUAGGGCAGGAUAUUCUGGUGUCAUCACUGAUUGUCAGUGAUCCAUUUUUAGAACCCAUAAUUUGCCAUUUACGCCCAAUGGAAUCUGUUUCCCUGGGGGAAGACGGGGUAAUAGCGACUGGUGAUUCUCUGGUGUGCACGUUGUAUCUGUUCAGGUAGAACAAGCCUGUCAGGUAUGACCUGUCAUAUCAUUACCUGUCAGGUAUGGCCAGUCAUAUCAUGAGUACCUGUCAGGUAUGACCAGUCAUAUCGUGAGUUCCUGUCAGGUAUGACCAGUCAUAUCAUUACCUGUCAGGUAUGACCAGUCAUAUCGUGAGUACCUGUCAGGUAUGACCAGUAAUAUCAUUACCUGUCACGUAUAACACGCCAUUGUCAAACGUUCAUUAGAAGUGUUAUAGGAAAAUAUUUAACUCUUGCUGUUAGUCAAUCAUAUCCGAUGUAUCAUUUGAUAGUUUUAAAUUAUUUUAUUAUUCCAUUUUUCUGAAAAGAUUUAUUGUUUUAUUCAAACAUUAUUUACUUGCCAUCGCUGAAUAAAUGCGUGUAACCCUUCCCGCUCAUUUCAUCAUCACAUCAUGUAUGUAUAGCGUCUCAUCGACAUGUAAAUAUUGUACAGACAAAUUAUAUAUUAUUGUUGAACAUAAAUAAUAAAC